rnacentral:misc_RNA from 1 species
GGCCAAGGUUGGCUGGUCACAUGUGAGGCAGGCCAAUAGAGCCCUAGUGGCCUUGCAGAGGAGACAGAGAGACUUCAACAAGAUGAUCAGUGAGCAGAGCAAGUUUACUAAAUAUAUGGAAAGGAACUCUUUCACCAAAGUGCUUAUUGGGAGAGGAGGCUUCUCAGAGCAGAAUGUGGCAGUAACUGAGGGGCAGGUUGUAGUGUUCCUCUGGAAUGACCCAACCUGUAAUGCUGGCUUCAAUGUUGUACAGGUUGUGCAUGAUGGAGAAAAGUUUACCCCUGUGAUUGGAGGUUACAAUAGUGGCUCGCCCUGCAAGAAAGGAUUCUUUGAGAUCCAGUUUAACAUGGAAGGAGAGUUCAAGUUUGUCAGUUCUGGCCUCCGCUGCACGCCACUUACCAUCAAUGUAGGGGCUAAACAGGACAUUAAGGCAGAGGUGACUGACACAGGAUUUUCACCCCGUGUGAUCCACAUAGAUGAACGUCAUGCUAUCAAGUGGACGUGGGCAAAGUGUGAUGUUCCCCACACUGUCUAUGAGGUGAAACACUGCAAUAGACACUCUGGUCUACUCAAGGUUGAGAACAAGAAAGACGCGAUAGCUACACAAUCUGGAAGCUUCAGGCAUGAGUUCAGACAAUCUGGUAUUUAUUACAUGCAAACUGAGGGUUUGAUGAUGGGAGAGACACACUUAUGUGUGGUGCAUGUUAGAGAAUGCCCCAGAGAGCAUCAGGUUGAGAUACUGGACCGUACAUUUAACCCAAUGAUUCUGCUCAUAGAUGAGGGAGAUCGAGUAUGGUUCCAGUGGGACAAAAUUAAGUGUAAGAAGCCCCACAACCCAUAUCAGAUCCACCACCCAAGUAUGGAGCAUGAUGAUGAUGACGCCUACUUGCCUGUCAAAGAUGGCUUCAAGUGGACACAACCAACGAAAUGUGGGUUGUUAUCCAAAGAAUUCUUUGAACCAGGUGUGUACUUUUUCUCAGACCAGAACUUCCAAGAAGCUGCUGAGUACAUAGGAACCAUAUUGGUGAAACCUAAACAGAAGGACCAUUUUAUUGACCUGAAGUUAGAGGGAUUCUCAAAAGAUAUGUUAGCUGCUGAGACUGGGGAUCGUGUCUGGUGGACGUGGAACCCUGGCAACAUGGACCCAGCAUUCAGUAUCAUGGAAAUGGAGAGGUGUCUCACUCCUACUGUUAAACCUGGAACAGAAUUUGAUUGUGAUGACCAGUGUACCUUCCUAGAGGGAGAUGCCGCCAAGCAGUGUACACUGGUGGGUCUUGCUGCUGCUCAGGUCAACUCUAUUGGGGUCUACCAUUACAGAGUGGCUGACAGCCCUAACACUUUAAGCACUUGCUCAAUCAUUGUCAAUUCAGGAUCAAAAAACUUUACAAUCCAUGUAACAGAGAAAGGCUUCCAGCCCAAGGUGGUCACUGUGCACCCCUCAGACAGAGUCUGGUGGGUCUGGCAGGAGGGUAAGAAGCAACACAACAUAAUGCAGGUCUCACAUGAGGGUAACAGGAUAGAUGAUGGAUUUUGCAGUGGUGCUCCAUUAGAUCCCCCAUCAGCCUUCAUGCAUCAGUUCACUAAACCUGGUGUAUACUACUACAUUACUCAGGCUCUGCCAAAACUGUUUGGUGCCAUUGUUGUGACAUCCCAACCCAAGGUGCAUGAAGUUGCAGUUAUCUCCAACCAGAUUACACCCGAUCCUGUCAAUAUUAACAUAAAUGAUUUGGUCUGUUGGACGUUUAAAGGAUUGAGGCAGUAUGAUGUUACUGAGAUAGAAUCAGUGGAUCAACUUAUUGGAGUAGAGUCCUCUGGUGCUCUCUUACCAAGACGAUGUAUGAACAGAGCGUUCGGGGAGGCUGGAGUUUUCCACUUCAGCAGCAAGUCUUUCUCCAAAAGGAAAGAAUCUAAGAAAGAAGGGCCUAGAGAACCAGAUGAGAGUAAACUAAGUAGUGUGUUGGUGGAUGAGAUGCACGACUCCAUGGUGGUCAGGGUAGAUUCUACAGGCUUCCAUCCAAAGGCAAUCAAUAUCAUCAAGGGAGAGAGUAUCCUCUGGACGUGGAAAGAUUCUAAUGAUGAAGCUCACAAUGUCAUUCGUGUUAAUGCCCCAGAUAGUGAGACCCCUCUCAGUGCCAUGCAGGGAGGGAAAUCAUUUAACAGUGGGCGUCCCAUGCCCAACAACAGCUUUCUCUACACAUUCGAUGAGGAGGGAACGUUCUGUGUGGCAUCCCAGGGUGCACCUGGCUUUUGUGGUAUCAUCAACAUCAUGUCUGUUGAUACGCUGAGGACUGAUGUACCAUACAUUGAGUCUGAUCAGAAUGGUGGCACAGUGGAGAAAAACACUCUAGUUUACCUUGCAUGUGACACUGCCCAGGCCUCCAUAUAUUACACGUUGGAUGGCUCUACUCCUGAAGUACAUAGGAAAUCAUCUAAGUUGUACAAGCCUGACAAAGGGGUAGUUCUAAAGGAGUCUGGAUUGUGCUUCCUGCGUGCACUUGCAACCAGUCCCACUCAGUUAAUCAGUGACGUGUACACAUCUAAGAGGUUCUGGGUCCUCCGUGGCCCAGUGGAGGAGACCCCUCCCUCCUCACCUGAACCUGUUGAUGAUGGGCCUAGUGCUGAAGAAACCCAGAAAUGGUGGCGUUGUAUACCAUCUCUCCAGGGAUUGUUCACUGGGCCAGGGGUCAUGGAGCUCUUCUGGGAGUCACCAGGACCAGAAUGUUUAGAGCUCAUUAGAGGAUACCAGAUCUUCAUCAAUGAUAUGACAUUCUGCGAAGUGUUUCCAGCCAACCACAACAGUGUCAAUGUGGCAGGUCUGGCAGGAGGCAGAGUCUAUGAUAUCCUGCUUGAUGUUUACCCAGAGAAUGACAAGUUUCUUCCACACAAGUCAAACAAAUUGAUGCUGAAAUGUCCUGAGACUACAGAGACUGGAGGUCCAGUUAUCUCCCUAGAAGUGCCAGACAAUGAAGACACAAUGGCAAUUGUGUGGAAGUCCAUCUCAACAUCACAGAACCCUAUCUUAGGUUAUAGGUUAUAUCUCAAUGGACAGCAAUGUGGGGAUACAGUUACACCCAAUGAAGCCAGCAAUAGAUGUCGCUGUGUCAUAGAAGGAUGUCAGCUAGAUGUCAUAUACAGAGUGGUUGUCAUGGCAUUACCAGAAGGUGGGUCAAAGCCAAAAAUGUCUAAUGAGUUGGAGGUAUCAUUGCCAUUGGAUACCUCACAGAUAGUGCUGCCCCCUACUGAGCUGCGAGGUGAUGACGAGGACAUCUAUAAAGACUAUAUAGAGGUCUCUGAAGGUUCUGGAUACAUGCCUGGCAUGGAUGAAGCCCCUGAACUUGAUAUUACUGAGAGAGAUGAUGCUGAGAAUGGUAUAGAAGAUGAGAAUAAUGGAUAUGAAAAUAAUAUCCUUGAUGAUAAUCAGAGGCUUAGAUAUGAAGGAGAGGGAGAGGAAGAUUCAGAACAUGGAUUGAAACCAGAGCAACAAUCAGAGUUACCACAGCAACCAUCUGUGUCGCCACAGCAACCAUCAGACCAGGGAAUAAGUGUUGAUAGAGAGAGUGAGCAUGGAAGGUCAAUACAUGAUGAAGAAACCAGGACCAAUGGAGGAGACACUGUGGAAGCAGAUAUUGUUGGAGGCAGUUCACGAUCUGAUGAUCCCAACCAGGAACAGACUGCUCAGAUAAGUGUAGAUGAGACUGCUGAGUAUGAUGAAGGUGUUGCAUCAGCUUCCGACCAAUCAGGUGAUGAAUAUCAGUCACAUGACCAUAGAGUAUCCAAUCAGGAGGCAGAAGAGCCUGGCUUGGAGAUUGAUGGUACUAGACAACCCUGGCGUAAUAAGAUGAAGGAUACUGCCAAACUGGGCAUGCACAUGGCAAGAGGGAGGCACAGGAAGAAAUCAGUUGAGGAGAAAAUAGAACAAACAGAAGUAGAUAAUGAUCCUCAAACUAAUUAUGAGGUUGAGAUGCAAGAUGAGGUCCCGUCCCAGUCCAGACCAGAAAGUGUGUCUAGCGUGGGGUCUGGGAAGAGACGUCGUAGGAAGAAGAGAGAACGAAGAGACAGAGACAAUGUGGUAGAAGUGGAAGAGAGUGUAGAUCUCACUCUGCCUAGUAAUGACACACAGACUCCCAGUGAUAAGCAACCUUUUAGUCCAACAUCAGUUGUCAGCACUGUCCCCCUUAUGGCUGCCAUGGACCUCAACAAUCAGGAUGAUUUCUUACCCGUUCCCAUGGUAACAGUUGAUCACCAGGGUCCAGAGAGUGUUCUGGUUAGAUGGAAGUUACCACGGCAACCAGAGCCCUCAUACAGAUUAUUGGUGUAUGUUGUGAAUGUGAUAGGAAUCAAGUUCCAGUCUGAGGUCAACAGUGAUAUCAGCUUUGAGUGCCUACAGGAGGAGAAUGGGGAGAGUAUAGCUGCUGUGCAACAUUGCUGGAACCUCACUGACUCCACUAGAUGCUUGGUAGAGGGGCUCAGUCCAAGUACACUUUACAGGAUAUUUGUUGUUGCCAACUACAGUGUGAUCCAUGCUGGUCAGCCCUGUGAGAUCCAGGCCACCUCCACUGUGAUACACUACACCUCUCUAGGAGCACCUCAAGCCCCCACUCUCUCAGUAACUAGUCUACAGCUUAGACAGGUUACAUUAAGCUGGGAGGCUGGAGAAUGCCACAGGGAUGUGGAGAUAUCUGGCUACAAAGUCUAUGUUGACAACAAACUGUUGGGUGACAAACUCAGUGCUAAAACUUCUCAAACAACAAUUGAUAACAUUCAGCCUGGCAAAACAAUCAGAGUGAAAGUGAUCACACUUACAGAACACAGAGUUGGAAACAGUGGGCCCUCUAACAUUGUCAAAGUGACCUGCCCCAACUGCCCUCCCCCUCCCAACAUCUCGCAACAGUCCUCAUACAAGAGAGGUCUCGUCAUUAUAGCCUGGGAGAAACCUGAAAGCAUUGGAGGCUCUGACAAGAGAGAAGAUAUUCUAUAUUACAAUAUAUACUUGGAUGGGGCAUGGCAUGGUGAAAUCAUGGCAACCACACAAGCCAAUAAGAAUGGCUACCAAUAUCACAUGACAGACUUGACUCCCGGACAGUCCUACGAUAUUCAGAUGAAGGCAUAUGCGGGGGACAAGAGAACAGAAGGGAACCAUGUGUACUGUCUGAGUGAAUCUAUUAUGUCCAACAGUCUCCCUGUGAUGUGCCCUGCACCACCCAAGUCCCCUUGUUUGACAAUAGAGGGCAUACAUGAUGGUGGAAUUGACGUCACAUGGCAGAGUCCACAACAAUAUGGCGAUGCUGUUGUCUCGGGCUACCAACUGCUUAAAGACAACAAACUGUAUGGGUCAACUAUACCCCCAGAUGUCCUCAGCCUGCGCAUCAAGGACGUCUCACUGGGGGAGAAGGUGACCCUACAACUUGUGGCCCUCACAGAACAUGCGGUUGGUAAGCUAGAGGGCACCAGAGUGAUAGGGCACCAUGAGGUUAGACAUACUAAUGCAUCUACUGAUGGGGACUCUGGAAUAGGAAGAUCAAGCUACUAUGAAAAAGAGGAGAAAGAAAUCAAUCAGCUGUUGGGAGAGAAGUAUUCAGCUUGUGUACCAGGUCCAAGGUUGACCAUACAUUAUACAGGACUUGUGAUGGCACCAACCAAAGUAUGGUGUGAGACGGUCACAGGGCACUCUGCCAUGGUGGUCUGGAAUAAAGGGGAAAAGGUGAAGCCUCACUAUGUACUCCCAGAUAGUUACCAAGUGACCUGGUGGCCAGGAGAUAAACCUGAAGAGAACAUCAACAGUCAGGCAUCUAAAGAUGACCACCUGAACAUAGAAGGCCUAGAUGCCAACACCACCUAUACUGUAAUUGUUGAAGCAAGGAAACUACAGUCCUAUACACAGACACAAGAAGAUCUAGAGAGUGACGAAAUUCGGCACAGUUUUAUCCUGACUAGUAAAUCUGAGCAUAUAAAAUUGACAACAGCGCAACCUCCGGAUCCACCAACAAAUCUUGGUAUUUUAUCGUCCACUUGUAACAGCAUCAGUGUCGCAUGGGACCCUCCUAGAGAACAUGGUGUUGAAGUCAUUGGUAUCCGUGUAGAUUGUGUUCCACUUCGUGCCCAUAGCAACCAGCACCGAUGUCUAGAGUUGAUGCCUGACAGCACAUGUGCAGUCUUGGAGAAUCUCCUAGAGAGCACUGAAUAUCACAUCACAGUCACUGCACUCACUGAGGAGUUCUUUGAUCAACUUCCUGCUAAAGACAAAACUAAGAAAUCACGAACAUUACCAAAAGAUAUAAUAGUUCAGAAAGCAAGCCCAUGGUUACCAAGUUCUAGUAUAAUCAGUAUGACAUCAGGAACUAAACCUCCCUGUGAUGUCACAGUGGUUGACACAGGGAUGGACUGGGUCUCGAUACGCUGGCUACCUGCACAAGUUAAUGGCACCAACUGGAUGCAAGGAACUAUAGUACGCUGGGCAGAGGUGAAGCCAAAAAGCCAGAAAAAUGAAACCACACUAGCUAGUCAUGCAGAGUUAAUGCCGGGAGAUACAACAUUGAAGAUCCAGGAUCUCCAGCCUGGUGUGCAAUAUAAGAUUGUAGUGGAGGCUGUUGUUAGUGUUAAAACAACUAUUAAACCUGGUGAAGGCCCAGACACAGUCAGUGAUAAGACUAGGGAGGGUGCUAACAGGAGAACUGCUCAUGUUAUGUCCUCAGCUGUAUAUGUAAGGACUAAAGCCCCUAGUGAACCCCCUGUUGUGUUAGUCACUGGUUUCACUAAUGACUCCAUACACCUCUACUGGGAGAAACCCUCUAUGUUCACAAUACUCCACAAAGAAGGUGAUGAAUCACCUCAGUAUAUAAGGAGGUCUCUGGAAGGUUAUAAACUAGAGAUUAAUGGUAAGCUUCAUAUGAAGCUUGGAUCAGCUGCUCAGAGUUGCACAUUGACAAAAUGUAGAGCAGGCAGGACGUAUAAUAUUGUGUUAAUUGCUCUUACAUGUACUGAGGAUGUGAAGAAAGCACGGAGGGCUAAGAGGAAAGCGCUGCUGGAGAGUAGUAGCUCUCUAGGGAGUAUGUCCGGUGGAUACAACAGCCCAGAUCUUGACGAGGAGAAUGAUGAAUCAAGAUCUGAAACUGUUCAGGUUGUACUACCAAGAACUCAGGAAGGUAAUGUUGAGAGUGUGCUAGGCACAUACAACAGUGACCACGAUGAGAUGAGACUUGUAUGGACAGUAGUAGAAGAUUCCUACAUGAUCAACCAGUUUAAUGUGGUCUACUUCAACACAACAGAGCCUGGCAUAGAGAGGAAGUGUGUCAAUGCUGAUACAAGGGCUUGUACUUUACCAGUCAAAACAUUCAAGACUGUUUAUGAAGUGGCCAUAGAACCUGUAUAUGACAAUGAUAACAUCAGACAGCAACCCCAACAUGUACAUAUCCAGGUUCCUGGGGCCCCUGAUGCUCCAAAUAUAUUUGCCAGAAGCAUUGACCAAGAGGAGUUUGUCAUAGAGUGGGGCGAACCAAGAACUUAUGGAAAUGUCAAAAUAAAGGGAUAUCAGGUGUACAUGAAUGAUAAGAAAGUUGGCAAUAUGUUAAGUGCUUCCCACAGAAAAGCUGUAAUUCCUUGUAGGCCAAACAGGCAUUACAAGAUUAACUUAACUGCUGUAACUGCUGUGAGAAGAUUUGCUGAGACUUCCAAGUCAAACACGCUACACAUUAACACAUCUAGUGGAAUAGGUGGAUUAUUUACUCCAGGUUCACGAUCAUUGAGCCCAGAUGGCUUGCAGUCUACAAUGGGUUCUACACACAUGGGUAAUGUUAGUGAUGAGAUAUCCCUUAAGGUGGUAAAGGUGACUGAUUCUACCAUACACCUGGAUUGGAGUGCCUGGCUGGAGGUGGAUGGCCUACUCUGCUUUAAGAUACAAUGGAGCAGUGUGGCUGUUCCUGCUCAAAGAGAAGUGAAGAUUGCCAGUAAAGAGAGAAGUUGUAUUCUACAGAACUGCUAUCCAGGGACCAAUCAUUUUGUACGUAUCCUGGCACUCGGGGAUAGAGAUGAGGUAUUGGAUAAGUCAAGACAACUAACAGUUCAAACUUCCGCAUCUCCCGAUACUCCGGUUCUUACUCUCAGGGCUUGUAACUUCAAGUACAUAGCAGUGCAGUGGGAUGCCCCAAAGACGUAUGGUGAUGCCCUGGUGGCUGGCUAUAAAGUGUAUGUCAAUGGUGUUGUAGAGACCAUACUAGGACCAGACCAGUACACUUAUGCUUUCACUCAUGGUCAGUGGUGUCAUGAGUAUGCCUUCCAAAUCCAGGCUCUUUCCACAAUUGAGAAACUCCAUAGCAAGCCAUCAGAGCCAUUUUUAGUUGAGUGGCCAGGUGUAAGAGCUCCAGUAUUAUCCAGGGCUCUCACAGUGUCUAGCAACUCUAUCAAGAUAGUAUGGGAUACUCCCUAUGCAAGUGAAGGAGUCAAACUGAAAAUGUACAAGCUGCUCUGCAUUUAUGAGGAAAGUAAUGAAAUAUCACAAACUGUUAGUCCCAUACAUCCAGAAACAAAGGAGGCAGAAGUCCAUAAUAUGAAACCAGGCUCAUAUCUGGUUCAUCUUGAAGUACAUGUGCAUGGAAGUAAUCAUGUUGUGCGGUCAGAGUCAGUGAGAGUCCAACCUACGGUGACACCUGACCCCCCACACAUCACAGUCACUGUGGUUGGCCUAGAGGAGAGGAGACAAAUACAGAAAGUUACUGCUGAUCUGCUCAAUAAGAGAGACAAAUUACUGUCUAUGAUACCUGGUAGACCUCCCAGUCCGAUGAGGAUGUCACACGAAUCUCAAAUUUACCUCAGGGUGUCUGAAACUCUACAGCAAGUGGAGGAGAUGCUAGAUGACUGUUUCUCCUCUCUGUCACACUAUACUGGGAACCUUCUUGCACAUGUUAGCUGGCAAUGUCCCCAGAGCAAUCCCCAUGUAACUAUCUGUGGCUACAAGGUUCUCAUUGAUGGCAAACAGUAUGGUUCAACAUUGCACGCUGGCGUAAAGAAUGUUAGAAUUAAGCUUGGCCUUGACAAACUUGUACAUAAAUUGACUAUGGUAGCUGUGUCAGAGAAACCACGAACUAGUAGUGUCCCAUCUAAUAUAGUAGAGCUCCUAACAGACCCUUUCCAACCCUACACAUUCUUUUGUUUCCACACAAUACAUUCAAAUAAUGCAAAAUGGCCAAAUCUUGGUUGCUGUCAAUACAUAGAUACAUUGGAGUAUGAGCGAAGGUUUCCUACAAGGUCAUACAACAAUGGGCUUAUGCAGCAUAAUAUUCCUCCACCAUCUUGCCAUGUGAUGGAUGUCUUCGAUGGAGAGUUCAAUCCACUGCUGCCACCUAGUGGGCCGGAUUGCCCAACUGUACUAUUCUUCUGGACUAGAUGGUGCCGCACAUCCCAGUAUGCUAUGGCAAACUUUGUGAGGUUUACCCGAGAGUUUCCAAGGGAGUAUGAUUACAUAGCUGUGUCGUGUGUGGAUAAAGAGAACUACCCCUGGGAGAGACAAGAAUUGACACACUAUCUCACUGAAAAUACUUUGAGGGAUGAGACAAUCAGACAUUGCUUGAAUAUCAGUGCAUCUUCUGCUUAUGUGGCAGGCAGCCUGCUGAAGAAAGGGAUGCUAGCAAAGCAUGGCAAGCAUGAUAGAGCGAUGAGUGAUAAGGGGGUCUAUGGUGAUAUCAAUGAUUUGUUUAAUGUGAUAGGAGUGCCUACAGUUGUCAUUAUACACCCUGAUGACUAUAUUGCAUGGCAUGGCAGAUAUGCAGCAUUAGACUACAGCCACUUUAAGGGAUAUAUGCAACAUACUCUUGCAUCUAUUUACAAUGAAGACUGUUCUGUCCACCAAUGUGACACUUGCCAGAAUGAAACAUCAAUAGACAUAGAUAAUAUAGAGAUUGGUUGUAAAACAUAUGAUCGCACUUCCCUGUUACUACACAGUUCUGGAAAUCCAUCCGUGAAAGCCAAGACAGGAGGCACAAUUGCAACACCUUCAUUCAGCACCAAUAAAAAACAAACCAAACCAGAUGACACUUUGUUUACAAAAUCACAACGUUCCAAAGACUCUAGGCAAGCCAAACAGGAGAUUGACAUUAAUGUAAGACCAUAUUCUGCAAAUGCAAUGCCUGAGACUCCGACCAAAAAGAAAUCUAGGAAGCCAAUAUCUGCAAAACGAUCCAGAUAAAGUCUACAGACUUCAAAAUAAAUGAUAUAUGCUCACAUUGUGUGGUUUGUUAAGAUAUUACUGUUGGCCAGAAUGCUGCCACACCACAGAUUGUUAUUAUGCCAGUCAUAAAAUUAAUGCUUAGUCAUAAAGUGUGCAAUACCAAAUAAUUAAUAGAUAAGUGUUAAAAUCAUACUUUCCUUGAUAUAUUUUUCAUUGAUUGAAUUAUGUAAAAUACUAUUUCAAUUAAAAUAUUAUGCGAAAUAAUGUAAAUAUCUACUGCAAUUGUCAUGUAAAUUAAAUUAAUUUAUUUGUUUAAAUAAUGCCAGUCCUAAUCACAGCUGUUUUAAAUGUAUUGACUAUACUCCUUGAUUAUCUUUCAAUUUUGUAUUAAUAUUCAAGUAUAUUAUGAUUGAAAAUGUUUUCAAUUCAUACUGAUAUACAUGUAGUUAUAUUACAAUGGCAUUCAUUGUGUGUGAACAUAUUUUGUAUGUAUACUUGUCAGUGAUAUCCAUUGACCAUAAUAGAUGAGUGUCUAUUUGUUUAUAUUUUCAAUCACAGACACAUCUUGAAGGUUAUAUUUUUGUACAAAUAUAUACAAAUCACCCAAAUAUAUUUUAUGUUUAAUUUAUUCAUUUAAACUAAACAUGUAAU